rnacentral:rRNA from 1 species
UACGUAGGGGGCGAGCGUUGUCCGGAUUUAUUGGGCGGAAAGCGCGUGUAGGCGGCCAGAUAGGUCUGCUGUGAAAACUCGAGGCUCAACCUCGAGAUGUCGGCGGAAACCGUCUGGCUAGAGUCCGGAAGAGGAGAGUGGAAUUCCUGGUGUAGCGGUGAAAUGCGCAGAUAUCAGGAAGAACACCUAUGGCGAAGGCAGCUCUCUGGGACGGUACUGACGCUGAGACGCGAAAGCGUGGGGAGCGAACAGG